rnacentral:snoRNA from 1 species
UAUACAUUGUUAGAGUUUGGAUUUGAGGUCACUACCUGGAUGAUGAACAAGUGUAGGUAGUAAGCUACAUUACAGGAGGGGCAAGUGUUUUGCUAACACUCCAUUCUGGCCCAGUGAAUGGAGCUUGAUAGGAACCCUUGUUACAAGU